GUGCUCACGUCAUCAGCACAUAUACCAAAAUUGGAAAGAUACAGAGAUUAGCAUGGCCUCCAUGCAAGGAUGACACACAAAUUCAUGAAACCUUCCACAAAUAA
ensembl:snRNA U6 U6 spliceosomal RNA